UACGUAGGGGGCAAGCGUUGUCCGGAUUUAUUGGGCGUAAAGCGCACGCAGGCGGUCAGGUAAGUUCCAUGUGACAGUGUUCGGCUCAACUGAACAAGGCUGUGGAAAACUGCUUGACUUGAGGACCAGAGAGGGACAUAGAAUUCCGGGUGGAGUGGUGAAAUGCGUAGAUAUCCGGAGGAAUACCAAAGGCGAAGGCAGUGUCCUGGCUGGUAACUGACGCUCAGGUGCGAAAGCUAGGGGAG
rnacentral:rRNA from 1 species